rnacentral:lncRNA from 1 species
GAUGGGGAUGGGAAGCUCAAUGAGACUGAGUUUUGCAUUCUUAUGCUCAGGCUUAGCCCUGGGAUCAUGGAAGAAGCCGAGGCCUGGCUUCACAAGGCACUUCAACAAGAACUCACCAAAUCCUCAACUUAAACUCCACCCUUCUGCAAUCAAUUGUAAGUUAUUUGUGUGUCAUGGGUGUAUCAUGCAAGUUAAAUAAACUCACUUCACACUCUAUGAAUGUUUUCUAAAGGUAAUUUAACUAUAAUGAAAUGAAUGCGACAGAAGUUAAAUUACAUACACUUCUUGCACUUCUAGCUCACUCACUAAUACUAUUAAAAGCAUUCGAUAGUUUCAUCUUAUAUCAGAAAUAAUUGAAUUUCGUCCCAAACCGACAGUCAAUAUGCACAUCUGAAAUAUAAAGAAAGAAGUCUUAAUAUAUAAUCGAUCAGAUAUUGUUUUAGAGAUUAUGUAAAUUCCAAAAUUAGAUCUGGAUAUAUAUGUUUAAAAACUUUAGUACUCUCUCUAUAAGACACAUUUUAAAAGUUGUUGCCACUUUUUAUAAGAUUUAUGAUUUUUAUACAACUUUAGAUUUGUUUUUCUUAUUUAUCCUUGUUAAAUAUUAUGAGUAUUUGUGUUUAUAUUAAUGAAUAGUGAGAAAAAUAAUUAAAAGUCAUUAAUAAUAAAGGUUAAUUUAGUACAUUGACCAAAUUAAUUAAAAAAUUCAACUCGAUUAGUUAUUUUUAUUAGUAGUUGUGAUUAUGAUAAAAAUAUCUGAUAUUAAAAAAACUAGAGAGUAGUUCUUAAUUUUGUAAAAUGUUAUUAUUUUACUCAUUUUUCACUUAUACUUUACAUCAAAAGAGUAGAGAAUAAUGAAUAUUUUGUAAAGUAAGGAAUUAAAAAAAUAUUAAAAUACCAAAAACUAUUUUAUUUUAUAAAGUGAGUUUAGAACUAAUUUAAUUCUAUAAAACUGGUUUACAAAGUAAGAUUUACUUUAGUUACAUACUCUAUUGUAAUCAUAUACCUAAUCGUACUCUAUUGUAGUUAUAUACUCUACUGUAAUCAUAUAUCUAAUCAUACUCUAUUGUAGUUAUAUACUCUACUGUAAUCAUAUAUCUAAUCAUACUCUAUUGUAGUUAUAUACUCUACUGUAAUCAUAUAUCUAAUCAUACUCUAUUGUAGUUAUAUACUCUACUGUAAUCAUAUAUCUAAUCAUACUCUAUUGUAGUUAUAUACUCUACUGUAAUCAUAUAUCUAAUUAUACUCUAUUGUAGUUAUAUACUCUACUGUAAUAAUAUAUCUAACCGUUAUAAAAUCUUGAAUACAUCCAUUAACGUAUAAGAUCAGACAACAAUAGGGCUACAGGCUACUAAACCUUAAUAGGAAAACUCUGUUUUUACCAUAGUUCUAAUCAAUAUAGAAUCUUCAACACACCUUUUUACAUUGAGAAUAGAUGAUCUUAUAGCAACCUCAUUGCAGGUGGUGCAAUAGACUCAAGAAACUCCACUAAGAAAGACUUUGACACCAUAUUAUAAAAUUGUUUUAGAUCUAAUAACAACUUUACAAAAUUGGCUUAUAAGACCAUAUUUACACCUACUCAUAUACUCUAUUUUAAUCAUAUAUCUACACAAUGUGAAUCUCCAACAAACUAAGAUGUCAAUUUCAUAUAUAAUUUAAAAACUACUCUAAUGAUGAUAGCAGCGACAAAGAGCAUGGGGUGCAUUUUUACCUAUCAAACACAGGGCUACGUUGACAACCAUUGUUAAGACUUGGCUCUAUAAUAACCUGGGCAGGGGGAUCUCCCAUAAAGCCCUCUUCUAGGAUGAUCACCCUUUUCAUCAUCAUCCCUCAUAUACUCAACAGAGAUCACUCAGUCCAGGAUCUUCUUACUGCACGUAGAAUGAAACUAGGUGUAUUAUAUAUGUACAGAGUAGCAUAAACCUCAGAAUUUAUCAAAAGAUAUUAAAAUCACAUCGCUGACCUCAUAUCUGUGCACUAAAGAGCUCUAGUGACAUCUAGUGUGUACAACUAAAUGCAAAGUUUCAACGAAUUAUAACAUUAAGAUCCUUCCCUGAUGUUCAAAGAGUAUUUCUACAUCACGGACCCUGGUACUAAUUGGCAGAAUUAAUCUCGUCUAGGGUUUCUUGUGGCCCUUUGCUUUACCCUGGAGCCAUCUUGAUAGCAGCAUGUUCUCCCUGUCAAUAUACAACAAAUGGAACCUUCUUAUUAAACUCAGAUAGUGCAUUGCUAACACUUAUAACCCCGAUAAUAAUAAAGGUAAAUACACCCAAAAUAUUAUAAGGAAAACAAUAUCCUAGCCCACUCCACAGAAGUAUUCGUUUUUAAUAUUCAAACCGAAAAUUUUCAAGUGCACGAAUUGCAACAACAGAACUAGCAUUAGAGACUCUAAAAUGAUGACGGAAGUCAACAAGUUGUCCCCAGCCAACAGACAUCACCUAAAUCAGGAAAUAAUUUUUUACCUCUUGGGAACAUAAGAAUUGAACACCUGCAUUAUAUGUGAGGGCAGAUGGACAUGGACGUGUAAAGCUGUAGAGAUUUAAAUGAGGAAGAAAAUUAUGAUUGCAAUUGAAGGGUUUAAAUCCAAAUUUGAGAUUAGAGAUUUUGAAUGUCAUUCUCAAGCAUAUUUAUCCAUUCAGACAGAAGGAUCAUUGAAUUCAGUAGUAACACAAGGCAAGUGAAACAGUGAUAAAGUAUAAUUGGUAUUAAAUGAACAAAUCCAGUAUCAGAUUUCUAAGUACAAGAACAUAAUUACUCUAUAAUUGAAUCAAACAGAUAAAGACCAAGAGCUUCAUGAUCCUUCAAUAGCAACCACACCCCUGUUUCCUCAUUGUCCAUAAUCCUUCAAUUUGAUGUUUCUCUUGCAAGCUCUCGUGCUUCUUCUCUUGACCAUCUUCUCAGGAUCAUCCACCAUGUGGACAACCUGCAUAAUCAACUUUCGAACAUUUUGAUUUAAUUCUUCUCCCUCUCAGGUUCCUUCUUGAUACUUAACUAAUACUUAACUGAUAUCUCUAAGUCAAAAGAAUGACACAAACGCCAAUGACAUGACCCAAAAGAAAAAUAAUAAGAAGGAUAUUAGUUUACCAGAUUUCAUGUUGACGACACAAUUGGCGAACAAGCAUUCGAGGUCUGAUUGACGAUUGUUGUACUCGAGGUUGCCAACGAAAACCGGUCUCGUCUUCAAAGGAAAAAAUUAGAGCAACGAUGAAUCAAUGCCCUAACCCUAACAACUCAAGAUUCUUGCUCUAUAAAGCAAACAAUAACAAAUUCUUGCUUGCUUCAAAAGAAAAGCUUAGAUUCUAAGUCAAUGGCUCUGUAUAGUAGAAUCGGAAACUACUUGUUUUUAAAACUUGAAAUGUGGUAUCACUCGUUCGAGAAGAAAUGAAAC